rnacentral:misc_RNA from 1 species
AUUUGCCAUUUCCUUUAGUUCCGUGAACUUUACUGGUAACGAAGGAAUACUAGCCAUUGCCAUUAAUUUUCUCUUUAACUCAGUGUCCAUAUUACUCGUAGGUUCACGUUCCCUUUUAUAGGGGCCACCAUGUAAAUUCCAGUCAAACACAUAAAACCCAAGUUGGGCAUAAUCAGACCAAACUUCUGAGCAUCCCCAAUUUGGGGAGUCGAGUCGCUCCGAAAUAUCGUCAUGUUCCGCAUAACUUUCAAUAACUAGGCAAGGUAUUGAGCCUUCACCAGCAGUUGAGAAUAAGCCGAUUCAUACAUUCCUCAAUAAAAGGUGAUUAAUUGAAAAGUAAGAUUAUACUUCAAAUUUAUUAAUUACAUGUUUAUGGGAAAACGAGUCGUCCUGUAAAUUAUUUAUUUAGUCUUGUAAGCUAU